ensembl:lncRNA
GCAAGCAACUGAUCGGCAUGAGUGUGACUGUCCUCAGCGGGGAGACUCAACCUGCGUCCACACAGAAGGUCGGGGGGAACGAUGUGUGUACAAAGCGCAGGUGGAACCAAGUCGUUGGGUUGAAGGUUCUGAGUCGAGUCCCAGAAAAAGAUUCUCUCAAAUGCUGCUGUUUUCCUGAAUGAGCACAGAAAUCCCUCCCGUGACCUCACCGUUGGCUCAGCUGUGCACCCCCCCCCCCUGUCCCCCGGAAACUUGAGAGAUGGAGCAAUGAUGACAGGGGUGGCGGUGCUGAUGAUGAAGGAAGGGGGUGUGUGGGAUGGAGCCACAAACCGCUGCUGUUGCCGUGUAUGUGGGGCAACCAGGAACAUCCGGUCCUCUGCAGACAGUCAUCGCAUCCCUUCGCUUCAGGAUUACAGCACUUAAUCUGCACGGCAACAGCUCCUCUGCUGCUGCAACGCUGAGCGGAUGGAACCAGGGGAGGAUGCCUGGGGGGGGCGAAAAGCCUGGCUGAAACAAAAUCAUGAGAAGACAUGAGGAGACAUGAGACAUUAGGAAACAUGAGCAGUCAUGAGGAGACAUGGGGAGACAUGAGACAUUAGGAGACAUGAGGAGUCCUCAGGAAAC